rnacentral:rRNA from 1 species
GACGAACGCUGGCGGCGUGCUUAACACAUGCAAGUCGAACGGUGAAGCGCCUUCCUUUUUGGUGGGUGUGGAUGAGUGGCGAACGGGUGAGUAACACGUGAGUAACCUGCCCCCUUCUUCUGGAUAACCGCAUGAAAGUGUGGCUAAUACGGGAUAUUCUGGGUCUGUCGCAUGAUGGGUCUGGGAAAGAUAUUGUUUCGGUGGGGAAUGGGCUCGCGGCCUAUCAGCUUGUUGGUGGGGUGAUGGCCUACCAAGGCGGUGACGGGUAGCCGGCCUGAGAGGGUGGACGGUCACACUGGGACUGAGACACGGCCCAGACUCCGACGGGAGGCAGCAGUGGGGAAUAUUGCACAAUGGGCGCAAGCCUGAUGCAGCGACGCCGCGUGAGGGAUGGAGGCCUUCGGGUUGUGAACCUCUUUCGCCAGUGAAGCAGGCCUGCCUCGUUUGUGGGUGGGUUGACGGUAGCUGGAUAAGAAGCGCCGGCUAACUACGUG